rnacentral:misc_RNA from 1 species
UUUCCGUAGGUGAACCUGCGGAAGGAUCAUUCAUAAUAAAGUGUUUUAUGGCACUUUUUAAAAAUCCAUAUCCACCUUGUGUGCAAUGUUAGAUCUCGUCAAUCUUGGCGAGAUUUUUAUACAUCAACUCAUUCUUUAACUAAUUUGUCUGAAAAAUAUUAUGAGUACUUAAUUCAAAAUACAACUUUCAACAACGGAUCUCUUGGCUCUC